rnacentral:rRNA from 1 species
AUUGAACGCUAGCGGGAUGCCUUACACAUGCAAGUCGAACGGAGUGGCGAACGGGGGAGGAAUGUAUCGGAACGGGCACAGUAGCGGGGGAUAACUACGCGAAAGCGUAGCUAAUACCACAUACUAUUGGAGCGGCCGGUAUCGGAUUAGCUGGUUGGUGGGGGAACGGCUCACCAAGGCGACGAGCCGUAGCUGGGUUGAGAGGACGACCAGCCACACUGGAACUGAGACACGGCCCAGACUCCUACGGGAGGCAGCAGUGGGGAAUUGUGGACAAUGGGGGAAAGCCUGAUGCAGCCAUCCCGCGUGUGCGAGGAAGGCCUUCGGGUUGUAAAGCACUUUUGGCAGGAAGGCGGUACCUGCAGAAUAAGCACCGGCUAACUACGUGCCAGCAGCCGCGGUAAUAC